UGUUGGAUAUUUGUGAAGUUUUAUGAUAUGAAUUCCUCAUUUUAAUUCUGAGAUGCCUAAUGUGGUUCCAAUUAGGGUCCUAGUUUCAAUGGCUCUAGUAGGCUGAUGCAGUCGAUGUGGUUAUUGAUCCAAAAGAUAUUGAGCUUAAAACGACAAGAUUUGGUGGAGCUGGAGGGCUGAAUGUUAACAAGGUUGAGAUGACUCUUGCUCUUAUUCACAAACCUAUGGGAAUACGGAUAUUCUGUACAGAAGAGAGAUCACAGCUUCAAAACAGAGAGCGGGCAUUUUAAUUGUUCUGGGCAAAAAUUGUAAAUUCUAGUUUCUGGGAGAAGAAAUGCUCUGACAACAUAUUUCAAUAUAAUAUAUGUUCAUCCUUGGAGGAAAUUGCAGGUUGGUACAAUGGUCCUGGUGCUACAUACGAGAACACAAGGACAUACAAUUACAAAGGUAGCAGGAUAUAUUAUCACGUAGUAGAAGCUGUUUAUGUUGCUUUUUCUUCUUUAUAUUCUUCCUGGAAGGAGCUCUUCUUAUUCUUUCCAUUUUCUAAUACUUUUAAGUAAACAGAUCUGAGGUCUUUUGCUCACAGGAUAACAGAGUGACAGACCAUCGGCUGAAGAUGAAUUUUGAAACAGUUCAAAAAAAAGAUGAAUUUUGAACUGACUAGCUUCCUUUGAGACAUCAAAUCGGCUGUUCAGUCCUGUGCUACAAUGGAGCAGCAGGAGCUCUUGGAGGAAAUGGCCACUUCUGUGGGCGUGACCAUAUGCAGAAUUGGACCCUCAGAAACAGGUCAUCGAACUGACGAUGUGUUCAAAUGGAUGAAGAUUAAGCUGUACAUGAAGAAAUCCGACAAAACUCGACAUAGGCACAUUUUCCUGUAGUUCAUGGUCAUGGUCAUGACUAAUGUCACAGAACAUAGAAAUGCACCUCAGCUUCCCUGCUGGUGGCAGAUUUUUUAGUAGUAGAAACUAGACAUGCUCGUACAAUUCAAUUGCACCUUUUUGCCGAACUCAAUAAGCUUCAAAUAUGUUAUUUCUGGGAAAUUCUUGUGUGCUGAAUGGGUAAGUUUUUCUAGAUCACCUA